rnacentral:rRNA from 1 species
GUUAAAAAGCUCGUAGUUGGAUUUCGGGAUGGGCCAGUCGGUCCGCCUAACGGUGUGUUUACUGGCUGGUCUGUUCUUCUUCGCAAAGACUGCGUGUGCACUUUACUGUGUGUGCGUAGGAUUUACGACGUUUACUUUGAAAAAAUUAGAGUGUUCAAAGCAGGCAUACCGCUUGAAUACAUGAGCAUGGAAUAAUGGAAUAGGACUUUGGUCUUAUUUUGUUGGUUUCUGAGACCGAAGUAAUGAUUAAGAGGGACAGUUGGGGGCAUUCGUAUUUCGUUGUCAGAGGUGAAAUUCUUGGAUU